AAUUAACCUUGUCAAAAUUGGUACAGACAAGGGGAAUCCGUCUGUUUAAUUAAAACAAAGCAUUGUGAUGGUCCCUAUGUAUGUUGACGCAAUGUGAUUUAUGCCCAGUGCUCUACAUGUCAAGGUGAAGAAAUUCAACCAAGCGCGGGUAAACAGCGGAAGUAACUAUGACUCUCUUAAGGUAUCCAGAUGCCUCGUCAUGAUUUAAUUAGUGAUGCACAUGAAUGGAUUAAAGAGAUUCCCACUGUCCCUAGCUACUAUCUAGAGAAACCACAACCAAGAGAACGAGCUUAGCAGAAUUAGCAUGGAAAGAAGACCUUGUUCGGCUUGAAUCUAGUCUGAAUUUGUGAAAUGACUUGAUAGGUGUAGAAUAAGUGGGAGUCGUUUUGAUCUAUAACCCUAUGAUUCCUAGAAUAUCAAACCCAUGUCCUAUAAAUUGUAAAUGAUCAAAUAUAUAAUACAAUAUAACCCUUUUAUUACCUAACACAUAUAACCUCUAUCAAAUCGAAUACUU
rnacentral:ncRNA from 1 species